AAAGCAUUGAACACCCAUGCAGAUUGGAGGAAGCCAGAGGUUUUACAAUGGGCUCAUGUUCAUGGCGGAUCAUCAAAAGGUGAAGAGGAGGUAUCUACAGAUAGCAUGAUAGCUUCUCCAUACCAAUUGAAGGAUUUCUUAUCCUUUGGAAAAUCGAACCCUCGUGGUAAAUCAUCAAUGGCUAAUGGUGACUGUUAUACACAUGAACUUACUCUGAGUGUGUCUUGAGUCCCAGUACAGUGAGGUGUACAUGAUGACUGGUCAGUUGUGGCUGGAAUCGCUAGAUAACAAUCUCAAGUCGAUGACAUGCUAUUGACUGGGUUCCUCGUCCUCUGGGUAGCUCCAUCUAUAGUCAUUGUUACUAGUUCUGGCGCCAUCGUAGCAGCCUCUGCCACUCACAUGUUGAGUUCGGAGAUGUUUUCAUGGAAGUAGAUUUUUGAGACAUGCAGAGUGGAAAGCUUAGUCGUAGUCGCGGGGGCGUUGUCCUCCAUCGUCAUGCACAUAGGACUCAAACCUUGUCGUAACCUUUGUCUUAGACAGGCACCAGAGUCGGGAAAGGUUUUUACAGGGAGAGGGAAGAAAAGAAAGCAUCCCCCUGAUGAGACAUGGAAUGGAGUCUUGUCCUUAUCCUAAAAGCCAGGGCAUCCUUUUUUUUUUUUCACUUUUCUUCGGCAAGAUAUGCUUCGCUGAUAGCUGAUUCUGGGUGAUGGGAGCCACUCGAAAUAAAAGAUGGGGAGGGGAACCCCACCAGGACAAAAAUUUCAAUUAUUGUACCCGGUUCGAUCAUGUAUUUUAGAUCGUAUUCUCCAGUGGCUAGUGGGUAGUUAUCAGGGGGGAAGUGAUAGGUUGCUGUUGUCUGCUUCCUUUCUGGUGGAAAACGAAACUUACCUUUUGGGUCCUCCCCCUCCCCUCUUAACGUUAGUCCUUUUAUCUCACCAGGAGAAGAGGGAGGGAGGGGCUUCUGCUUACCAAGAGAUUUCCCCAUGCCACGUCCAAGUUCAAGCUAGGCUGGCAUCGGUUCAGAUUGGAGAAAACGAAAGUGGUUGACGAACUUACCCUGGUUGCAAAAUGCGCUAUCCCGGUCGUGGUGGGAAGUUUCGAACCGAUAACUGGGAUGGCGAUCAAGCAUGCAGCACCCUCGCCAAUUAGGAUACAAUUACGGGUUUGCAAAUUUUGUGUUUUGCACAAUACGGAAGAACCGCAGAAGAAUUCCUAGAUACAGAACUAGUAACUGCCUGAUGAAUGUGGCUUUUUGACACCUAGAAAGCAACCAUACAAAAGACAUCUUUAUUUGCCCCUGGUGGUUUCCCCUGCACCGAAGGUCAAAGGUUGGAAAGAAAAAAAGUUUGGAUAAAAAGAGAGAAGGUAGACACGAUCUUCUCUCGCAAUCUUCUCUCGGAUUGAGCAUCGUCUUUACACUCGAGACAAGUUUCCCUUGUAUUACCACAACGUCCGGCCUUUCAAACCUCCUGCAAAACAAUUGGAGAAAACAGAACAGGAUCAUCAUCAGCAAGCGCCUCAUAGAUUCAGUCGCGCGAUGUGUGCCGACGGCAACAAACCGUCUCACCCUUUUUCUCAGAACCAGCUUUCUCAACCUAUCACUUCUCCAACUCAGAUUUACCCUGUAGAGAUUGAAUGGCAGAGCGCCUACCCUAGUUAGAAGGUAAACAAACUAUGUGCAGUCACUUGUAGAACAUUAAGAGUUUUCUUACCUUGGCUCUGGCUGCAUCAUUGUCCACUGGAGAAUGUCUCUUCUGCAAAGCACCAAGAAGCAAAGCCAUCAGAAAUUUCACUUACUUACACAUUGCUUCUACAUGUGGGGGGUGUGUGUGUUUAAGCCAAUAUAUACUACAGGAAGAGACUUGCCUUGGUGAAGCUCAUUGGAAUGGAGGUUGCAGUGUCCUCAUAGCACAAAUGCUGCUGCUGCUCCUCCUCCUCUCUCCCGUGCUCUUUCGCCUUCUCCUUCUUCUUCUUCUUGCUGCCCCCGGAACCGAGCUUCCGCGACCCGGGGCCGGACGAAGAGCGCUCGUUCUCGUUGUUCAAGUCCUCUUCGACUUCAUAGAACGGCGGCCCGGACGAUGCAUCAGAGACCAUGGACAGAUUCCCCUCUCCUUCCUCCUCGUUUUUGCCUCUCCCUGACCUCGUGUAAGUGUAGUCCUUGUGGAUUUCUCCCUGCCAUUGCUCCAGCGCGAGAGUCCAGCCAGACUCACAGUCUCCGCUGGAUUGUGAGGUUGAUGUGUUCAUUGUCCCGAAUUCCCUCUGCGAUUCUACAACUCCAACAGGGACUUUUUAUAGGAACUGAGGAGCAAUUCAGUAAUGCCCCAGAAUUUUCUUUUCCAAAAAAAUUGAAAUAAACAGAAUUUCCCGGUGAGAAUCUCUCUCUCUCUCUCUCUCUCUCUCUCUCUCUCUCUCUCUCUCUCUCUCUCUGUGUUCUUUUUCUGUAUUGGAAAAGAGAGAAGGAGAGGGCUGGGGGAAAAGAACAAACGUAUCACACUCAAAUCCUAGACUUGCUUUGUCCUUUGCUCUA